GAUGAACGCUGGCGGCGUGCCUAAUACAUGCAAGUCGAGCGAACAGACGAGGAGCUUGCUCCUCUGACGUUAGCGGCGGACGGGUGAGUAACACGUGGAUAACCUACCUAUAAGACUGGGAUAACUUCGGGAAACCGGAGCUAAUACCGGAUAAUAUAUUGAACCGCAUGGUUCAAUAGUGAAAGACGGUUUUGCUGUCACUUAUAGAUGGAUCCGCGCCGCAUUAGCUAGGUGGUAAGGUAACGGCUUACCAAGGCAACGAUGCGUAGCCGACCUGAGAGGGUGAUCGGCCACACUGGAACUGAGACACGGUCCAGACUCCUACGGGAGGCAGCAGUAGGGAAUCUUCCGCAAUGGGCGAAAGCCUGACGGAGCAACGCCGCGUGAGUGAUGAAGGUCUUCGGAUCGUAAAACUCUGUUAUUAGGGAAGAAAAAAUGUGUAAGUAACUAUGCACGUCUUGACGGUACCUAAUCAGAAAGCCACGGCUAACUACGUG
rnacentral:rRNA from 1 species